GGGAAGGUAGCUCUGUGGUAGAGCACUUGCCUUGCAUGCAUGAGGCCCUGGGUUCAAUUCCUCAGCACCA
rnacentral:tRNA from 1 species